CUUAUACCUCUACCUCUAUAAGUCUCCAUACAUGCUCUGUCUAUGGCCCUCGAGUGAUCAACAACUUGAGAGAAGAAAGACCCAACUGCUAUCAAAUGCUCUGGUUCCAAAUAGAGUUGCAAUGCUAAUUCUCUAAUAAAUCCAUGCACCAUAUUAUGCUCUGAAGGAUAUAGAAUAGGAAUAUGACUGACCCACUCAAGAAACCCAAUCUCAUAUUCUAAAACUG
rnacentral:lncRNA from 1 species